UAGCGUAGGGGGCAAGGCGUUUGUCCGGGAUUUAUUGGGCGUAAAGAGCGUGUAGGCGGCCAGGUAGGUCUGCUGAUGAAAACUCGAGGCUUAACCUCGAGCUGUCGGCGGAAACCAUCUGGCUAGAGUCCGGAAGAGGAGAAUGGAAUUCCCGGUGUAGCGGUGAAAUGCGUAGAUAUCGGAAGGAACAUCAGUGGCGAAAGCGACUUCCUGGACCAGUACCGACGUUCAGGCACGAAAGCGUGGGGAGCAAACAGG
rnacentral:rRNA from 1 species